CCAUCUGGGUCCAUUGGCAAGAUAUAAAUAAGGUUGACUGGAGAUGACCCUGGGUGAAAUGAGAGUUGCUGGCCUUUUUUAUGCUAAGGUCUUAAGUGGGUAAAGUGUAACUCCUCUGGAAUACAUUUGCUGCUGAACACAAUUCAGUAUGAAGUAGUUUCAGCUUGUACACUGAAACAUAGGUGAGGGGGGAUGAUUUACUGAGAUCACAAUAAGCUCAUUAUGUGAUAGUCUCACCAGGUCCCCAUGGAAUCAGAGUAUGGAUAAUAUUACAAUGAGGCUUUAGUACACAGCCUUGCUGAUAACUACCUCCUUUGUUAAUUAGAUAAUGCACAAGAGGCUGCAUAAUGUCACCUGCUUCCAUAUCUUUGCACUUUGGACACUAAGCGAGUCAUCAAAGUCAGUGCCAAAACAAAAGUCAAGAUGUCUGGAGAUAGCCCAGGAUGCAAGAUAUGGAUUAUACCCUGACAUAACACUGAGAAGAGAUACUGCAUCUUUGUGGCUUCUGCAUCUUGUCUAGACCAGUUCAAGGAUUAAAAAGUCUGAAUUCCA